CCUACGGGAGGCAGCAGUAGGGAAUAUUGCUCAAUGGGGGAAACCCUGAAGCAGCAAAGCCGCGUGGAGGAUGAAGGUCUUCUGAUUGGAAACUCCUUUUGUUAGAGAAGAUAAUGACGGUAUCUAACGAAUAAGCACCGUCUAACUCCGUGCCAGCACCCGCGGUAAUACGGAGGGUGCAAGCGUUACUCGGAAUUACUGGGCGUAAAGAGGGCGUAGGCGGGAUAGCAAGUCAGAUGUGAAAUCCUAUGGCUUAACCAUAGAGCUGCAUUUGAAACUGUUGUUCUAGAGUAUGGGAGAGGUAGGUGGAAUUCUUGGUGUAGGGGUAAAAUCAGUAGAGA
rnacentral:rRNA from 1 species